GGUUCCCAGACGGGUGUUGCUGCUGCUGCUGCUGCUGCGAGGCUGACGACGAGCCGGCGGUCAGGCCGUCCAGCACCUUCCUGAUGUUGAAUUUCCUCAUGGUCUCGGCGGGGCUCCCCCGCAGCCCAGGAGGAGAGAUGAGAAACUGAAGAAGAAAGGAAGAAACUACAUCCCUUGCCCAAGGUUACAUCGCUGAAUCAACUUGAACGGUAGACAGACCAGCCAUUUCAGUUGAAUCCUACUGCAUUUCUUUGACAUGGUCCAGAUGGCCUUCAGUGAUGGGAAGAAGACAGAAGCUGGGGUGGAUGACGCUGCGGACCUGGAGGCGAGACAAUGAUGUGUAGGAUAGAAAUGUCUAAUCUUCAAUUCUAGGUUUUUGGUGAAGAGACAAAGAAAAUCUUUUCCUUACCUUUAACAUCUCUUCAAUCCUACCGUAAAGUCUGCUACCCACUCAGACUUUUACAUAGAGAAAUCAAGAAAGAAGCUGAAAGUAGGCCCAGCAUUUGGGUUUAUGUGGAACAGGAGACACUGAUUCAUCAGGGCCAGGAAGCUGGACCCAGGAGUAUCCCUGAGACUAUAAAUCCCAGAAGAAGUUACAGGAAUCUUAAAAAAAAGCAAUAGAUUUCCUCUGGGUGGUGGUAUAGGAAUUAGGGCCGAUUUUAUCAAGAUCUUGAUGGCAGCAUGACCCCAGUGGCAGUUGGUUAUGAGUCUAUGGCCCUGAUGAGGUUUGAAGCCUGGCUCAUCUACAUGCCAGCUAGUUAUUCUAGACUGCAAAACUUGGUGUCUUCUUUGGUAAAAUUGGAGUAGUAUCUUUAUAAUUCGGGAUCACCAGUUGAUACUUAAAAUAGCUAGAUAAAACAUUGUUGAAGAAAGGGAUAUUCUCAAAGGAAGUAUCCCUUCCCCCCAUAUUGCAUUUGAAUUGUAAGGAAAAAUAUGUCUUUAAGGUUGAGAAAUUACAAAUAAUCUUGUAGUUGAGACAUAUGCCAGAGAUCAAACUUAAUAUGGGUAAUGGUACAGAGAUUUUGCAGGAGAGCAUCCUUGGUUUUGAGAGAUGCAUGCUGAAGUAUUUAGAGGUGAAGUGUCAUGAUGUCUGCAACUUACUUUAAAAGGUACCACAUAUAUGCACACAUAUACCAUAUAUAUACAUAAAUAUGCACAGAGGUAAUAUGUGUGUGUCUCUUGUGAAUAUAUGAAUCUCUAUAUAUAUAUGUAUAAACACAUCUGUAUAUAUACACAUAUAUCUUUCUCUAUAUAUAAAUCUAUUAUAUUUCUUAUGUAGAUAUAGUGUGAAAAUGUGGCAAAAUGUUAACAAAGUGAAGAGUAUAUGUGUUUAUUGUACUAUUCUUUUACAUUUUUCAAAAUAAAAUGUUAACUGUGUGAAUAACUUAAAGGAAAAUACUUAUCAUCACGUCAGGCACCGUGUCUGUGCUCAUUUUGUGUUGAUUACCUUUUCCUUUUUCUUCCUUUUUCCUCUUAGAUUUGUUCACUUUCCCCUAAUCAUGAUAAGCCCUCACUAUGGUUAUUUAAACAUACCUUGGUUCUUGUUUCAUUGCCCUAAAAUAAAAAGUUGUUUCUGAAAAAGCCUGAAGCACAAAGGCAGAGUGCUGUAAAAGUGCCCUGAGUGGCGGUAACUGGCUGCUCUGCGGGGUUGUUCUGUUCUCCAAAAGGGGCAGCCUGUGGUGUUGCAUGUUAAAUAUUUUGCAGAAUUAAGGGGCAGAAAUCAGUAGUUUAGAAAAAAAAAUACCCAGAAUAUAAACAUUUCUCAGUAAAUACUGAAACAGAGCAAAUGUU